GAUGAACGCUGGCGGCGUGCUUAACACAUGCAAGUCGAACGGGACUUACUUUAUUGAAACUUCGGUCGAUUUAAUUUAAGUCUAGUGGCGGACGGGUGAGUAACGCGUGGGUAACCUGCCUCACACUGGGGGAUAACAGUCGGAAACGAUUGCUAAUACCCCAUAUGAGGUGAGUUGAAAUACUUAUCUUGAAAACUCCGGUGCUCAAGGAUGAGUCUGCAUCUGAUUAGCUAGUUGGUGGUGUAAUGGACCACCAAGGCGAUGAUCAGUAGCUGGUUUGAGAGGAUGAUCAGCCACAAUGGGACUGAGACACGGCCCAU
rnacentral:rRNA from 1 species